UGAAACAAGGUUUUGUUUGAAAUCUUCUGACACCGAGAGAGGGUUUGGAGAAGAACAGGAAAGCUAUAUAUCCCCCUCACCAUUUUCACUCCAGAGAAGCUAUUGAGGUGGUGGUGUAAGACAACAAUGGGCAGGCAUUUCUAUAGAAUGUCACACAAACUUGAACUUCAUCAAGCUGUGCAAUACAUUGAAGAUGUAUUAUCAGAAGUUGUUCCUUAUGUGCCACUAAUUGGUAACUUUUAUUUGUAAGCAUAUCAAUGCAUGGCCCCAUGCUAAGAUCGUUGGUGAUUACUUGGAACUGGUUUCAAUUCAAUGUUUGAAGAGGCCAGUGUGUAGUACCGACUUAAGCCCUAUUGAACACCUUUUGGACGAGUUGUCAAAGAAGGUAAAAAGUUGCUGAGUGAUUUAGGAGAAUUUGCAGUUAUUAAGAAUAGCGCAAUUGAAGGAGUAUGGAAAUAUUCUACAGCACUGCAUUCAAAACCUCAUGAAAUUGAAUGCAAGCCGUGAUCAACUCAAGAAGAGUAAAUACUCCAGACUGAGUUGAAUAUUUUUUUCAUUGUUUCCACAGCAACGGUAAAUAAGCUGAAUUAAGGCGCAUAUGAGCAUACAGGGGAAUGAAAAAGAUGACAAAAAGGCAAAAGAAGUAGCGAGAGCCCGAUGGAAGCUGCUUUCAACUUGGCAUCAAUAUCGCAUGUAUUAAGAACAACCAGAGUGAAAAUCCAACAUGAAUGAGAUGAAAUAUGGCAGAACACUGACAAUGGAAGUCAGACUGAAAAAUUUUAUCAAACAAUAUCACAACAUUUACGAAUGGAGAUCAAACACUCUUAUAAACCACAACGAUUUUUUCUCGUCAAGGAAAAAAUAAAGUACAUCUUAAAAGGCUCAAAAUCAUCGAGGAUAGGGAGUAGAGCGCAAAAUUGGGAACACAUUAUCUUCGACUGUACCAAGUUCAACAAAAAAGAUCUGAUUUGAUGCGUGCAAUAGUGUUACAACGAGACAAUGCCACCAACUUUUUUAGAAAUAA